rnacentral:sRNA from 1 species
UACAUUAUGAAUUGGUUGUGCUCUACAAU